AGAGUUUGAUCCUGGCUCAGAUUGAACGCUGGCGGUAGGCUUAACACAUGCAAGUCGUGCGAGAAAGUAUCUUCGGAUAUGAGUAGAGCGGCGGACGGGUGAGUAACGCGUAGGAAUCUACCUAGUAGAAGGGGAUAGCCCGAGGAAACUCGGAUUAAUACCGUAUACCUCCUUCGGGAGAAAGAAGGCCUCUCUUUGAAGCUUUCGCUACUAGAUGAGCCUGCGUAAGAUUAGCUUGUUGGUGAGGUAAAGGCUCACCAAGGCUACGAUCUUUAGCGGGUCUGAGAGGACGAUCCGCCACAUUGGGACUGAGACACGGCCCAGACUCCUACGGGAGGCAGCAGUGGGGAAUAUUGGACAAUGGGCGAAAGCCUGAUCCAGCCAUACCGCGUGUGUGAAGAAGGCCCUAGGGUUGUAAAGCACUUUAAGUUGGGAAGAAAAGUUAUUGGUUAAUACCCAAUGACCGUGACAUUACCAUCAGAAUAAGGACCGGCUAAUUCCGUGCCAGCAGCCGCGGUAAUACGGAAGGUCCAAGCGUUNAUCGGAAUUACUGGGCGUAAAGCGCGCGUAGGUGGUUUAUUAANUUGGGUGUGAAAUCCCCGGGCUCAACCUGGGAACUGCAUCCAAAACUGAUUUCACUAGAGUACGAUAGAGGGAGGUAGAAUUCACAGUGUAGCGGUGGAAUGCNUAGAUAUUGUGAAGAAUACCAAUGGCGAAGGCAGCCUCCUGGAUCUGUACUGACACUGAGGUGCGAAAGCGUGGGUAGCGAAC
rnacentral:rRNA from 1 species